UCUUGAAAUUUAAAGAAUUUGGCGGUAUUUUAGUCUUGUUAGAGGAACCUGUUUUAUAAGUGAUACUACACGUAAUAUCUUACUAAUUUUUGUUUUUCAGUUUGUAUACCGUCAUUAUUAGAUAACUUUUUCAGAAUAAGUUAUUAUAAUUAAGAAUAUAAAUAUAUUAGAUCAAGGUGCAGCUAAUAAAUUAGAAAAAAUGGGUUACAAUGAAAUUUAUUUAGUACGGAUCAAUAUUUGAAAAUAAUAUUGUAAAGGGGGAUUUAAUUGUAAUUAAAAAUUUAAUAAGGUUUAGUGAUAUUAGUACUAAAUUAUGUACAUAUCGCCCGUCGCU
rnacentral:rRNA from 1 species